rnacentral:rRNA from 1 species
AGGCAGCAGUGAGGAAUAUUGGUCAAUGGGCGAGAGCCUGAACCAGCCAAGUCGCGUGAGGGAGUACUGCCCUAUGGGUUGUAAACCUCUUUUGUCGGGGAGCAAAAGCCGGACGUGUCCGUCUGUGAGAGUACCCGAAGAAAAAGCAUCGGCUAACUCCGUGCC